GGCGGACGGGUGAGUAACGCGUGGGAAUCUACCCAUCUCUACGGAACAACUCCGGGAAACUGGAGCUAAUACCGUAUACGUCCUUAUGGAGAAAGAUUUAUCGGAGAUGGAUGAGCCCGCGUUGGAUUAGCUAGUUGGUGGGGUAAUGGCCUACCAAGGCGACGAUCCAUAGCUGGUCUGAGAGGAUGAUCAGCCACACUGGGACUGAGACACGGCCCAGACUCCUACGGGAGGCAGCAGUGGGGAAUAUUGGACAAUGGGCGCAAGCCUGAUCCAGCCAUGCCGCGUGAGUGAUGAAGGCCCUAGGGUUGUAAAGCUCUUUCAACGGUGAAGAUAAUGACGGUAACCGUAGAAGAAGCCCCGGCUAACUUCGUGCCAG
rnacentral:rRNA from 1 species